rnacentral:rRNA from 1 species
AGUGCCAUACCACCCUGAUCGUGCCCUAUCUCAUCUGAUCGAGGAAACUAAGUAGGGUCGGGCCUGGUUAGUACUUGGAUGUGAGAUACUGAAUAAAAUACUAGCAAACAGAAUUC